ACAGCAGAGAAAUGAUUCCCCAAGGCUCUGUAUUCUGAAAGGGGGAGGAGUCAGUUAGUGUACUUAACUACAUUCAGUUGAAAGCAGGCAGUUCCUUUCUGACCAGCACAAAGUAGCUGCCUGGCUGACCAUGUGAGACUCUGCUGUCCAAGUUGCUGAAUGACCAGCAGUAGAUACAACAACAGUCAUCACAGGUUUAAAGGUCCUGAUUGGGCGAAGCAAGAGAGAAUGGGAGCUUCCUCCUCCACCCAGGUGUACAAUGCAUCACCUUAUGAAAUAGAGGUUUUAUGCCCUGUAGGGACGCUGAAGAAAAAGAUCAUUGAGCUGGAUCCCAAAUCGGAGGAUGGCGCUUCUACAACUGAAGAGGUCAGCAAAAAGCCCAGUAAACAUAAACGCAUGGUCAUCACAGAAGAAGACCGAAAUUGUUCAAUGAGAUUGCCAUCUGGAGAUGACGGCAGCAUUAAAGGAAGCGGUCAUUUGUUUAUUACGAUAUAUUUGCUUUCUGAUUCUUCGGAAAAAUCCAAUAUUGAAAAUUCAAGAUUCAAGUGCAUAUGCAGGAACUACCCUGUUCCCAAAAACAGGUCAAUCAUAGUGACAGAACACACGGUCAAGUUCCAAGGGAUUAACAGCGCCCCCGGGGUUGAUGAAAGUGGCAGGAAUCUCAGUAGUUGUACAUGAGUGUCCAGCCUGCUUCACUACUGCUGAAACUAUACUCAGAUGAGCGCAAGUCUGAUCUGUAUUCUGCUCCUUAUUUAAACAGAAGUCUGGAAAGGCCAUCAGCUCUUGCUAUAAUUUUCUGCAUUGUUAUCUUGAGAUCACAAGAUAAUUAACUCGUUACCUCAAGAUCCCAACUUUGUUAACUUGAGAUCACAAGAUAAUGAAUUUAUCUCAAGACAACUCUGUCUUCAGACAACAAAAUGGUUAACUCAUCAUCAAGACAACUUUGUUAUCUUGAGAUAACGAGUUAAUUAUCUUGUGAUGGUGAUAACUUUAUUAACUCGAGAUCAUGAGAUAAUUUAUCUCAAGACAACAGCUCUUAUCUUGAGAUCACACAAUAGUUAACUCGUUAUCCCAAGAUAACAACUUUGUCUACUUGAGGUCACAAAAAAAGUAACUCAUUAUCUCCAGAUAAGAACUGUCAUCUUGAGAUCACAAGGUAAUGAACUCAUUAUCUCAAGAAAAAAACUUGAGAUCACACAAUAGUUAACUCGUUGUCUCAGGAUAACAACUUUGUUACAAGGUAAUUGACUCAUUAUCUCAAGAAAACAACUUUGUUAUCUUGAGAUAACAAGAUAAUUAACUCAUUACCUCCAGAUAAGAACUUAAUCUUGAGAUUACAAGCUAGUUAACUCAUUAUCUCAAGAUAACAAGAUAUUUAACUUGUUAUCUAAAAACAACAACUUAACUCAUUAUCUCAAGACAACAAUCUAGAAAAUUAUAACCACCUAAUGGCCUCUGUGAACUUUUGUAUAUUUGACCUUAAUUUUGUAAUUAAGAUGAUUUAAAAAUAUUCGAGCACAAUAAUAGAAGAAAAACAAUGUGUGUUGUGGUUCUUCUCUAAUUUACUUCCUUAAAGCUAAGAAUGUGUAAAAUGUCCCCGUCUGUUGUUCGUGUGUGUAAAACUAAUGGUCAGUGAGGCCGAAUGAUUUCUGUAAUUUGUAGUUUAUGUUUGUUUCAUAUAAUCUUUGAGCUUCCUGGACUUAAACUCUGCAAGUCUUGGUUGGAAACAAAAGGGUUCAAGUCUUGAAAACUGUC